rnacentral:rRNA from 1 species
CAGUCGCCGCGGGAAUACAGGGGGUGCGAGCGUUAAUCGGAUUUACUGGGCGUAAAGCGUGUGUAGGUUGUUGUUCAAGUCAGUUGUGAAAUCCCUGGGCUCAACCUGGGAACUGCUUCUGAGACUGAACGACUAGAGUACGGUAGAGGGUGGUGGAAUUUCCGGUGUAGCGGUGAAAUGCGUAGAUAUCGGAAGGAACAUCAAUGGCGAAGGCAGCCACCUGGGCCUGUACUGACACUGAGACACGAAAGCGUGGGGAUCAAACAGGAUUAGAUACCCCGGUAGUCCCUGUCUCUUAUAC